UCUGGGCGCUGUCCUUGCACAUCCCCAGUCAAAUAUCCGUCUGGGGGUGAAAACUGCUCAUAUAGCAACUGUCCUCCAAAAUUUAAAUUUGAACAUUAAGACAAAUUUCAGCAUGUAAUAUCAGUGCGGCGGCUACAUGCUAGCAUUAGCCACUUCGAAAAACAUGAAAACAUCAUAAAAACAUCGUCAUCAUGAGAAAGUGAGAGUUUAUUGAAAACUAAGGCUUGUUUUUGUCAAGUUCUCCGUUAGACUGAAGCGUGGAUUUUGACUGCGCCACUCAGAAAUGCAAUGUGACUUGCAGCCAGAAGAAACAAGCAGGAUGAAGCUUCAGAUCCACUGAUGAAGAGGAGGGAAGGGCGAUAUGAGGGCCAAACAGGGUGGAAAGGUGUAGAAGCAGACUUCUCGGAUCUUGUCUUGUAUUUUUUCACUGCCAGACAUGUUAAAAUAAAUAAAUAACUACAGCUUGA